rnacentral:lncRNA from 1 species
UUGUUGCAUCAUCAUCUAUUAUUGUUGUUGCAUUUGUUGUUGUUGAUGCAUCUCUUGUUACAACACUUGCAACAUUUGUUGAUGUUGCAAAGCUUAUUGUGCUUGUUGAGCUUGUUGGUAUUGCAUCAUUCGAACUCACAUAUUGAUAUUAGAAUUGCUUUAUGGAACUGGAAUAAAAUUCCUAGUCCUCUAUAGUUCUCAGCCGUUAUAUCAUUUUUAUCAUGCACACAUAUCGAGUUG